rnacentral:pre_miRNA from 1 species
GCUGGUUUCACGUGGUGGCUUGAUGUGAAAGUGCGAUUCUAGCACCAUUUGAAAUCAGUGU